ensembl:lncRNA
AUUUGCAAUAAUGAUGGAGUGGAGAAUGACGUUUGUCUACAAAAAGGUAGAAUGUUAUGAUAUAUGGCUUUUCAUUCAUGUAUAAAUGGUUAUAAUCGUCAUAGUCUUAUUAUGGCGUUGCUUAUAUGUUUCCACUAAUUUACUGUAUUGACAAGUGUUGUAUUAGUGAUCGGAAAGAUUAUAGCACAUCGUUUAGUAUCAAUACUAUUAAAAAAUAGUAAAAAAGGGGUAUAGUUUGUGUACCCAGCAUAAUUAUCACCAAAUGUGUAAUAAAAACAGUGCUUAUAUAUAGAUUAUAAGGCUUGACAGCCCUCUAUAGGCCACUAUGAAAUUUCAUUAUGUAGAAAAGAUAAAUAUGACUAAUCUGUUAAAAUGGUAAGCAUGAGAGUAAAUAAUGACAGAAUUAUAUGCAGUUAUAUGUGUGUGUGUGUGUGUGUAUGCACCAUGGUUGCUUUUGUAUGUAUGUUUCUAUAUUCUUCAAAGAUACUGAGAACUUGUCUCUGACAUAAACAAAAAAUAAUAAAAAAAACUAUGUUAGAAAUAUGUUAAGAACUGAUGUUAUAAUCAUAAUCCCUCCCAGCCUUUCAUGUGAGCCCACAUAUUGUGAUUAGACGGUCCAAUCUUCAAACACUGGUUAUUUAGUCCUCUUUUUACUCAAAGUCAUGAGUAACUCGAUACAGAUCCUUGAGCUUGAUUGUGCCGAAAGCCCUGUGAACACACAGCCAUCAGGCAUGUAUUAUUAAAUGGGAUGAAUUCGAAUAAUUGUUGUCUGCUUCAAAAAUUAAACCACUGUAAUUUAUGUGUCCAUUUGAAUUAGGAAUUGAUAACGUCACAUAUUUUGUUUGGCGUAUCAUGUUUACGCCACAAAUUGGGACUCACCGCAAGACUGACAAGAGCGUGAGGAGGCCGAUGACUGGUGUGCCAGGCGGGAAAUGCAGGGAAAAUUACUUCCAUUGGAAACUCAUGAGUGGCUAUAAUAUCUGCACACUCCAACAGAGAAGAUGGCCAGAUUUUCACCAAGAGGCAACCUGGGAUAGAUUUGGACUGUCUAUUUUCUGUCUAGGCAAACAUACGCAGUGAAAUUCCUGCCGGCUGAACUUAACACAACACAUGUAUUCUUAAGGAAAAGAAAAAUAAGCCAAUAUAUAAAAUUACAGUACUAUUAGAGCACAUAUUCUCUUACUGUACGUAAAGUGCUCCACGCAGGCAUGUCUGAGGACAGAGCUUGAAUUGAUUUUGUAUGCUCGCAACGCUUGAGAAUAUAAGGCUGGUAUGUAGCUUAAAUAAACCAACGGGCCGACAAUUAGCCA